UACGUAGGGUCCGAGCGUUGUCCGGAAUUACUGGGCGUAAAGGGCGCGUAGGCGGCCUGCUAAGUCGAACGUGAAAUCCCUGGGCUCAACCCAGGAACUGCGUCCGAUACUGGUUGGCUUGAAUCCGGGAGAGGGAUGUGGAAUUCCAGGUGUAGCGGUGAAAUGCGUAGAUAUCGGAAGGAACAUCAGUGGCGAAAGCGACUUCCUGGACCAAUACUGACGCUCAUGUGCGAAAGCGUGGGGAGCAAACAGG
rnacentral:rRNA from 1 species